AUCCACUUGCCUCGGCCUCCCAAAGUGCUGGGAUUACAGACGUGAGCCACUGCCCCUGGCCUGAUAGUCAUUCUUCUGCAAAUAGUUUGGAAUUGGAGACCUCAAUAGUGAUAACUGUAACUUCUAAUUUUGUACAAUAGUAACUGAGUUAGUAUUUAAUGCAGUGUACCCAGUCUAUAUCACAUGCGUAUUUGCUAUGUUUAUAACCCAACACACUGGCAUAUGAAAUGGUUUAAAGGGAAAGUCUCCAUUUCUGGAUUCUUUGGAAAUGUGAUUACUUACAACCUGUCUUUAACAUGUAGGAAAACCAUUUUACUUUGAUUAUUUCAUAUCAAAUUAACAACUUGCAAAAUUAAGUGGAGGAUAGGCAGUUAUCUUAAUAAACUAAUACAGAAAACAACAUUGGCUUAAUUUCAGAGUAAUCUUUUUAAAUAAAUUAUUUUUGUUGUUAACUGAAACCACUUUUCCAAUUUGUAUUUAUUCAGAGGAAAAAUUUUUAAAAGUCACCUCGUAAUGAAGACCAGCAUCAGUUUAUAUGGUGUGAGUUCUUUUCAUUUGUCUUAGAUUGCAUCUACACUGACAGAAGAAAGUAGAAAGCAUUCCUCCCCUCUGGAGCAUGCAGUUUUCAAGGGAUCAUCUUGGAAGCACAGACUGGACCCUCAGGAGAAAACAAACCUGCCAGCACGUUGAUCUUGAACUUCCCAGCCAUCAGGACUGUGAGAAAAUAAAUUUCUGUGUUUUAUAAAUUACCCAGUAUCCAGUAUUUUGUUAUAGCAGCACAAAUAGACUAGGACAGCAUGUGAAAAAAGUGGAGGAGAAUGGCAAAAAAAAAAAAAAAAAA